rnacentral:lncRNA from 1 species
CUGUGAUUAAUUGUCUUCCCCUUUGCAUGUAGCAAGAAGAGAGCUCCCUGAAUAGAUUCCGAGUAACAGGGCAGGGGAAGACCAUUCAUCAAACAAUAAGACUCUCAUUUACAGCCACUGGGGAGCUAUCCUGAAGAAUAAAACAAUAGAAAUCUUGGACUGGGAAUUGAGAAAGACAAGCCACGAAUACAUCCCUGCCAUGAAGGAGUUUGUGACUUGGGAAAGCUGUUAACCUUUCUAGGUCUCCGGACUUUAAUCACCAGCUCUAAGCUAAACUCUAAAGGAGAGAAAGAAACACCCUGGGAAGCCUGCGCUGCCUAACUGACUCAGGAAGCAGCCCCGCCCUGCUGAGAGCUAUUGUCCUUCCUGAAGUGAGCAAGGAGCUUCCUUGGUCUCCAUCCACAAGAAAAAGAAAAACAGUUCCUGCUCCAUUGUUCUGAAGCUCCGUCUCCCAGAAAAAAGAAUCAUCCUUCCCUCAGGGGAGCCCGUCUGCCCAAGCUCCAGCUAGAGACUGGAGCAGAUGAACAAAGCACGUCAGAGCAAUUAGUUUUGGCAAUUAGGCAGGCAAUUAGUUCAGCAGUGUGUAGAAUGGGAGGAGAAGGUAAAUCGGCAGCCCCAGAGGUGACGGGAAAUGUGAGUUGGCCUCCGGCUCUAGUGACACUCAGGUGAGAAGGUCGGGUACUCCCCAGCCUCCCUUCCCUCUUGCUAUCAGGACCACAGCGGAAGUUGCUUUCCAGGAGCAAGACAACAGCUCCAGGCUUUCAGCCCCGUUCUAAUUUCUUCCUCCGAAUGCCACAAGUUCUCAGUGCUUGCUCCAGCGGAGUCCCUGUUGCUUUCUCCCCCAGGAAUCUGAUCUGCAAUGUUGAAAUUCUUAGAUGCAGUUUCCUGGGGACUCUCCCAGCAUUGAGUUUGUUGUUUUGAAAACUUGGGAAGGUCUCUUCUAAGGGGCAAUUAAUUUCUCAUUUACCUAAGGAUGGAGGAGAAAUUACACAAUUUCACACGAUAUAGUAAGGGGGCCCUUAAAAACAGUGCUUAAAAGGCAAAGCCUUGGGGUUGGGUACCAUCUGUGUCUCUUACAAAGCUCUGGCCUUUGGUUUUAUCCGCUCCAAACUGUGAGAAUGACAGAAUGACCUGGGAACACGCACAGCACUUCAAUAUGUCUUGUCAAUUCCAAUUUGGGGAAUGCAUAUAUUAAAAAUUAUUUAUGUUUAUCUGAAAUC